rnacentral:rRNA from 1 species
AUUGAACGCUGGCGGCAUGCCUUACACAUGCAAGUCGAACGGUAACGGGUCCUUCGGGAUGCCGACGAGUGGCGAACGGGUGAGUAAUAUAUCGGAACGUGCCCAGUAGUGGGGGAUAACUGCUCGAAAGAGCAGCUAAUACCGCAUACGACCUGCGGGUGAAAGGGGGGGAUCGCAAGACCUCUCGCUAUUGGAGCAGCCGAUAUCAGAUUAGCUAGUUGGUGGGGUAAAGGCCUACCAAGGCAACGAUCUGUAGUUGGUCUGAGAGGACGACCAGCCACACUGGGACUGAGACACGGCCCAGACUCCUACGGGGGGCAGCAGUGGGGAAUUUUGGACAAUGGGCGCAAGCCUGAUCCAGCAAUGCCGCGUGCAGGAAGAAGGCCUUCGGGUUGUAAACUGCUUUUGUCAGGGAAGAAAUCUUCUGGGCUAAUACCCCGGGAGGAUGACGGUACCUGAAGAAUAAGCACCGGCUAACUACGUG